rnacentral:rRNA from 1 species
GACGAACGCUGGCGGCGUGCUUAACACAUGCAAGUCGAACGGAAAGGCCCUGCUCUUGUGGCGUGCUCGAGUGGCGCGCGGGAGAGUAUCCCGUGAGUAACCUGACCUUGACUGUGGGCUAACUCCAGGAAACCGGGGCUAAUACCGGAUAGGAGCUAAUGCUCCAGGGUGGGGGCUGGCGAGUGACGGCGGUGGGGGAUGGACGCGAGGCUUCUAAGCUGGUUGGUGGGGUAGUGGCUUACCAAGGCUUCGACGGGUAGCCGGCCUGCGAGGGUGACCGGCCGCAUUAGGACUAAGGUACGGCGCAGACUCCUACGGGGGGCAGCAGUAGGGAAUAUUGCACAAUGAGGGGAAGCCGGAUGCAGCAACGCCGCGUGCGGGAUGACGGCCGUCGGGGGGUAAACCACUUUCGCCUGUGGCGAAGCGGGAGUGACGGUAAUGGGUAAAGAAGCACCGGCUAACUACGUG